rnacentral:rRNA from 1 species
UACGUAGGGGGCAAGCGUUGUCCGGAUUUAUUGGGCGUAAAGAGCUCGUAGGCGGCUCAGAAAGUCGGGUGUGAAACCUCCAGGCUCAACCUGGAGACGCCACCUGAUACUGCUGUGGCUAGAGUCCGGUAGGGGAACACGGAAUUCCCGGUGUAGCGGUGAAAUGCGCAGAUAUCAGGAGGAACACCGGUGGCGAAGGCGGGUCUCUGGGCCGAUACUGACGCUGAGGAGCGAAAGCGUGGGGAGCAAACAGG